GGCCUUCCCACAGGGUUUUGUGGAGGUGUGGGUGGGUAACAACUUUAAAACUAUCAGAAAAUAAAGUGCUUUUUCAAACAACGACUUCAUCAGCAACAUAGUAGGCCAGAAAGAGCCUGCACGGCCUGACUUUUGUCUUUCAUCACCUUUUCCUUUUGUUCAGCUGCUUUUCAUCUGGCUUCUGCGAGGUUGCUGGGCUCUUUAAAACAGCACGUGCAGAUAUUGUUUUGGAUUUUAAAGUAAUUUUUUUUCCAGGACCACUCAGAGGUUAAAGCCUGAAGCUUGUUACCUGUUCUUGAGAAAAUCACCCUGUGUACACUGGAGGAGUCAGGAGCUCACAGCUGGUCUCAAACCUUUGUCACUCUCACAGUCCAGUGGAUUCAUCGACUGCACUGCCACUCGCCAGCCUGCCCAUUCUCCGUGGAUACCUAAUUGCUCACACCGCAUGUCCACCUGCUCACCGAUACUUCUACCUUAAGCUCUUCUCACCUGCACUCACAAAUAAGCCCUCAGCUACAAUCUAUUAGAGUCGCCACCCGGGUUCACCAGUAGUGUUUGGGUCACACCCAUUUUUCCCACAGUCCAUCACUGCUCAACACUCAUUGGAAAUAAACCUUUAAAGACUUUCAACUGUCUUCUCUUUGGCUCUGAAAGUACUUUAUUCUUUGCCAACAACAGCCCUGAGAGACUCCUGGUGGUGGCAAUACACAUAAAGGUUCAGGCCAGCCAAAAAUAUUAGCUGGUGGACCAUCGAGACGAGCGAUGGUGGUGAAGCAGCAGUGUUAGCACUACCUUGAAUUUUAAUUAUAUUCAACACUUUCUGUAUACUGUUGAGACUACUUGAUGCUUCCUGUCAGCACCUGCCAAGGAGAACAGUCCUUGUUGCAAAUGGGAUGUAAGGAAUAAACUAAGGAGAGCACAGAGAUGCGUGAACAGCCUGUCACUUGUGGCCACUGAAUCAGAUCCGUCUGGCAGACUGUAAUGACUUGAUCAAUUAUUUUUCUCCAUGGAAUGCAAGAAGAAAGUCAGUACUUUAAGUAGGACAUUUUCUCUGCUGUUUUAUUUACAUUGAAACGUGUGUUUGACUCCUUAAGACUGUAUGUAUUGUGCUGUUGAUGACAUUUAUAGAUCAUCAGUAUAAAGUAAUACUUUGUGUUACAGUGUGGACAAAGUCUGUGUGCUGAAGUUGGGCCUGUGCCAAGAUUGCAUCCAGAUUAUUUGAGUCAUUAUAAUCCACCCGUGAUUUAGUGGAAAUUG
ensembl:lncRNA